UCGGACGCAGAAGAAGAGAAGAUAGGCUCACGCAAGACGGGCGCGCACCAUCCGCCAGCACGACAGCUUCUCUCAUCGACUGCCCCCAGCCGUGCCGUGCCCCCCCCCCCCCCCCCCCCCCCCCCCAUCCUACAUCUCGCCGUCGUAUACACACUCACACGUGCCUCAGCGAAGCUAUCUAUAUCUGUUAGCCUUAAGUAGCGCCGUCCUUAAGCAGACUCUCACACACACACACCCACACGCACCCACACAGACGCGUGUAGCCGUAGGACACAGCAGAAAAAGCAGCAACAUCCGGCAAGCGCCCCCUCCCUCCGCCCCACCCGCUCUCGCGCCACGCACGCACGCACGCACACACACACACACACACACACACACACACACACACACACGCAGCGAGGAGCGAUCGCAGCAGAGGCGCCAGAAGCUAAGACGGCAGAACGGUUAACGCGAUUAAGCUAAGCAAGGCAGAGGCAGGUGCGUUGCCAUCCUCACCAUCAUGCCACCAAAGAUGUCUGCGAAAAACAAGCAGCAGCCCAAGCAGCAGGGCGGCAACAAGAAGGGCAAAGGCAGCAGCCAGGACGGCGACGACUUUGACGCGAUGCUGGCGGCAGCCGUGAACGCGUCCAAGGCGGACGCGGCCAAAAACCACAGUAAUAACCAUCAGGGUAAGCGCAGCAGCAACGGGAAUGGUACUGCACCGGCCAGUAGGAGCCUCGCCGCGGACGAGCCAGUGGUGCCGAGCUCGGCCGAUCACCCGGAGAAUCCCUACCCGAAGACGGCGGAUGGCUAUCCGCGGCAGACGUGGCCGGAGCCGACGGUGCUAGUGUCGAAGCAGUUUGCUCCUGGUCAGUUUCCGGCCGGCGAGAUCGUCGACCACCCUGGUGAGAUGAACAACUUCCGACGCAGCAGUGAGGAAAAGCGGGCGUUGGCCCGCGCGAGUGAGCAGCAGGUGCAGGAGAUGCGCGAGGCGGCCGAGGUGCACCGCCAGGUCCGCACCUGGGCACAGAGCUGGAUCAAGCCAGGCCUAUCACUGAUGCUCAUGACCGAUCGCAUCGAGAAGAAGCUGAAUGAGCUGAUUGGCAAGGACGGCAUCCUUCGGGGACAGGCUUUCCCGACAGGAUGCUCGCUGAACCAUGUCGCAGCGCACUACACACCCAACACCGGUGACGAAAAGGUCGUUUUGGCGUACGAUGAUGUCAUGAAGGUCGACUUCGGCACCCACAUCAAUGGCCGCAUCAUCGACUGCGCCUGGACGGUCGCCUUCAAUCCGAUGUUCGACCCGCUGCUGCAGGCCGUGAAAGAGGCGACGUACGAGGGCAUCAAGCAGGCGGGCAUUGACGUCCGUCUCGGCGACAUCGGCGCCGCCAUCGAGGAAGUGAUGGAGUCGCACGAGGUGGAGAUCAACGGCAAGGUGCACCAGGUAAAGAGCAUCCGCAACUUGUCCGGCCACAACAUUGCCCCCUACAUCAUCCAUAGCGGCAAGAGUGUGCCCAUCGUGAAAGGCGGCGAGCAGACGAAGAUGGAGGAGGGGGAGGUGUUUGCCAUCGAGACCUUCGGCUCCACUGGACGCGGCUUCGUGAACGAGGAUUUGGAGUGCUCCCACUACAUGAUGCGGCCCGGCGCAGAGGUGAUGCAGUUGCGCUCGGAGAAGGCGCAGCAGCUGCUGAAGCACAUCCACAAGUCGUACAGCACGUUAGCGUUCUGCCGCAAAUGGCUCGACCGCGACGGCUUCGAUCGUCACCUCAUGAACCUGAACCGCCUGGUCGAUGAGGGCGCCGUGAACAAGUACCCGCCGCUGGUGGACGUCAAGGGCAGCUAUACAGCUCAAUAUGAACACACGAUCUACCUCGGCCCAACCGCGAAGGAGAUUCUUUCCAAGGGAAGCGACUACUAGGCGUGGGGCGCUGUGGCGAAGGGAAGGGCGCACAGGGGGCUCACAGAGAGCGAAGAAGGAGCUGCAUGUAUGGGGGGGGGAGAGGGAUCGAAGACGAUACGAGCGCAGAUCCCGGUGGUGAGGAGGCGGCGUGUGUGCGUCUGAGCCCUCUCUCUCCGUCACAUGUACGCCUUCGCCUUGUCUCUGAUCCCGCUGCCUUUUCGUUUCUCCUGAUCGCUAGUGACCCCCUCCAUCACGUGGCGGAUACCGUGCUCUCUGUUUUUGCCUCACAUUGCCGCUUUCCCACGGUAUGGAUGCUGAUGAUGCCGGUGAUCUAUGAGGGCUCUUCCUGACUAUUCGAAAUCCAUCCUCCAUCCCCCGGUGAUGACAUCUGAAGCCGGGCGUGGCACACACACCCCUCUCAGCGCGUGGCACCUCAGGGACCAGUGCACCCACUUUCUCUCCGUGGGAAAAGCCAAGCAGCCCCCUCCCCCAUCCCCUGCCAAGUGCCGAACCGCUUCUGGUGGUGACGGGUUCAGGCGCCUACGCCGCAGGGGGGAGGGUUCAGAGCGAUGUGUCGCUGCUGGUGCCGGCGGUGGCGUCCUGGAUGACGUUGCAUCGGAGUGGCCCGCGACAGCGAGGCAGAUCUGUAUCCAUCCACAUGAUGGGCAGAGCGUCAUCGUGACCCGAGCGUCCCCCACCCGGCCCGGCCCUCACACCGCCCACUGGUGUGGGUGGGGUGCCCGAGCGCCACCGCGAGGGGGAUGCGCCCGGUGGCGGCCGGCAUGGUGGGCGCGGCUGCGCGGCGCCCCGCGAAGCAUGGGCUGUGGGCGUGGGCGUGGGCGGGGGCCGUGCUCUCCGAUGGCUGGGUCGGCGCGUUGCUGUGGCGCGUGUGUGUCUACGGCUGCCAUCGGCCCACGCGAGGUUGGGUCUGUGACAGGGGUCGGAGGGAGAGGGGGUGGCAGUGGAGGGGCGGUUGGACGUCACGUUGUGCGGCACUGAAGUUGAACUCACCUUUACGAAGAGAAUGAUUUCGCAAGCGAAACUGUGGUCGGUGGGAGCGGGUGGAAAAGGCGGACUCAUUUGGUAGCGGACACGCCGCAUCGGUACACUGCCUGAGGGUGAGGGGCGGGAGGGGUGAGAUGCCGCGUUGAUGAGCCCACUGCAUUGAGAGGCAACACAUGGCAUGCUAUCACCUCUGCUCCGUCCUACUCUCGGCCACUUUUCUUGUUCGCCAUUGGGCUGCCCCCUCCGUUGCCACCACCACGUGGAACGUUCAGCGUAGCCCUCACCCGUAUUUCCUGGUGCAGACGCCCAGAGAGUACGUCAUGUCCGUUGCGUGUGCGUGUGUGUAUGCUUGCUGUCGAGCUUCCGUUGGACGAUCGUUCUGUUGCUUUCUUGCGCAUCUUUUUUUCGUGUGGGUGAGUUCGGGAGUCGUAAUGGCGGCACUGGCGAACGAUCGAAGAGUGUCGCCUUCCCUUCGGUGGCCUUCUCUAAUGUCGCUGCACGGCUCUGCUUUCCUUCCGCCCCCUCCCCGAUUGUGCGCCAUGAAGUCAGUCGUCCUCCGUCGGGUCCGAAAACGAUGCUUGAUUUUACCUUAGCAUUGGAUGUGUCUCGGAUCCACCACGCUGCGCCCGCACGCGGGUCGGCAGCUCAUGCCACGUUUGCCCUCUUUCGGAAAUGAAAACGUUUUCAUGUUCUCUUCCCACCACCUAUGCUGGCGACCGAUGCCGAUGUCUUCUGUGUUUCUGUGUUCACCCACGUCGUCCUCGUUGCUAUCCCUCCUUCUCUGUCGCCCCGCAUCGUUGUUCGUUGCGGGGCCCUGCCUGGUUUGCUGCCGCAACAUCCCCGUGCGUUGGUUGUUGUUGCUAGCUGCCUCCCUCCCCUCGGUGGUGUGCUGCACAGUUCGAGCGAUAGGAGGGGGAAGGCUGGAAGCGGGAGGAGGGGGACUUUAAGGCAGCAAGCAUCUGUGCAUGUGCGUGUGUGUGUGGGUGUGGCGCAGACAGGGAGGGCGACUGCCAGGAGAGCGCUGGAGAGAGAGAGGGACUGGCUGGGGAUGCAGCAAGUGCUUCUUACUACCGCAUUCGUAAAGGUUAAAAGGCUCCAACUGAUGCUUCAUCAAGAGGCAAGGGUGGCGGUGGUGGUGGGCCAGUGCUGGCCCCCUGCUCCUCCCCUCCGACCAACGCGGCGCUUGCGAGAAGGGCGAGAGGGAGAGGGGGAGGGAAAAAUGGGGCGGGGACGCGAGCCACAUCUUCAGCAGUGUAGGCCGCGGCGCCCGCCCUCCUCCCUUUCUCAGCGGCGCUAUCUCCGCUGCUUCCAGCGCCACAACAACUACAAGCCGGAAAACAGUUACCCACACACG
rnacentral:misc_RNA from 1 species